AAUUCAUCUCCCUUGGUCUCCUCAUAUUUCUCUCUAAAUCAGAGAACUGACUAGGAAGGAAGAUAUAAAGUUAGUUAGACUCUCUGUACUGUGGCUCAACUAAUUUGUGGUCUGUGCUCAGGUGGGGGAACAGAAUAAUGUGACUUCAGUAGAAGGUGUUUUUGAGUGGAGCAGCUGAAGAGGGACAGAGAGACUGGUAGGUAUUUAUUUUUAUUUGUAUUUACUAUGGAUCCCCAUUAGCUGCUGCCAAAGCAACAGCUACUCUUUCUGGGGUCCAGCAAAAUUAAGGCAGUUAAUAGGUGGAGAUGGAAGAGAGGGAUAGAGAGACUGGUAGGUAGAGAGGGAAGAGAGGAACAGAGACUGGUAGGUAGAGAGGGAGGAGAGGAACAGAGAGACUGGUAGGUAGAGAGCAAGGAGAGGAACAGAGACUGGUAGGUGGAGAGGAAGGAGAGGAACAGAGACUGGUAGGUAGAGAGGGAGGAGAGGAACAGAGAGACUGGUAGGUAGAGAGGAAGGAGAGGAACAGAGACUGGUAGGUGGAGAGGAAGGAGAGGAACAGAGACUGGUAGGUGGAGAGGAAGGAGAGGAACAGAGAGACUGGUAGGUAGAGAGGAAGGAGAGGAACAGAGAGACUGGUAGGUGGAGAGGGAAAAUAAAGCUCUACUCAAUAGUUGACCAUGUUUAGUUUCAGUUUGUGUAAUAGUCAGU
rnacentral:lncRNA from 1 species